UAGGGAAUCUUCCGCAAUGGGCGAAAGCCUGACGGAGCAACGCCGCGUGAGUGAAGAAGGUCUUCGGAUCGUAAAACUCUGUUAUUAGGGAAGAACAAAUGUGUAAGUAACUAUGCACGUCUUGACGGUACCUAAUCAGAAAGCCACGGCUAACUACGUGCCAGCAGCCGCGGUAAUACGUAGGUGGCAAGCGUUAUCCGGAAUUAUUGGGCGUAAAGCGCGCGUAGGCGGUCUUUUAAGUCUGAUGUGAAAGCCCACGGCUCAACCGUGGAGGGUCAUUGGAAACUGGAAAACUUGAGUGCAGAAGAGGAAAGUGGAAUUCCAUGUGUAGCGGUGAAAUGCGCAGAGAUAUGGAGGAACACCAGUGGCGAAGGCGACUUUCUGGUCUGUAACUGACGCUGAUGUGCGAAAGCGUGGGGAUCAAACAGG
rnacentral:rRNA from 1 species